CAAAGGUUUGGUCCUGGCCUUCCUAUUAGUUAUUAACAGAAUUACACAUGCAAGCCUCCUCAUCCCGGUGAAGAUGCCCUCUAAAUCCAUAAACGAUUAAAAGGAGCGGGCAUCAGGCACACUAAAUAAGUAGCCCAUAACGCCUUGCUCAACCACACCCCCACGGGAUACAGCAGUGAUAAAAAUUAAGCCAUGAACGAAAGUUUGACUAAGCCAUGUUAAUAUUAAGAGUUGGUAAAUUUCGUGCCAGCCACCGCGGUCAUACGAUUAACCCAAAUUAAUAGGCUCACGGCGUAAAACGUGCUAAGGAUUACAAAACACUAAAGUUAAAAUUUAACCAGGCCGUAAAAAGCUACUGUUAAUAUAAAAUAUACCACGAAAGUGACUUUAUCAUCUCCAACAACACGAUAGCUGGGACCCAAACUGGGAUUAGAUACCCCACUAUGCCCAGCCCUAAACACAAACAAUUUACACAACAAAAU
rnacentral:rRNA from 2 species